rnacentral:rRNA from 1 species
ACGGGAGGCAGCAGUAGGGAAUUUUCGGCAAUGGGCGCAAGCCUGACCGAGCAACGCCGCGUGAGUGAAGACGGCCUUCGGGUUGUAAAGCUCUGUUGUAAGGGAAGAAUGGUAUAGAGAGAAUCUAUAUAUGACGGUACCUUACCAGAAAGCCACGGCUAACUACGUGCCAGCAGCCGCGGUAAUACGUAGGUGGCGAGCGUUAUCCGGAAUUACUGGGCGUAAAGGGUGCGCAGGCGGUCUUUUAAGUUUAAGGUGAAAGCGUGGGGCUCAACCCCAUACAGCCUUAAAUACUGGGAGACUAGAGUACUGGAGAGGGAAGUGGAAUUCCAUGUGUAGCGGUAAAAUGCGUAGAUAUAUGGAGGAACACCAGUGGCGAAGGCGGCUUCCUAGCCAGAGACUGACGCUCAUGCACGAAAGCGUGGGGAGCAAAUAGGAUUAGAUACCCUGGUA